rnacentral:misc_RNA from 1 species
UUCUAUUUGUCCUCUCCAAAUUUUUCCCCACCUUCAUGUCUUCACUGGCAAAAAUUGCUCUUUUAUUCUAUCCAUCCCAAUAUUGCCGGUUCACUAUACUUCCUCAUUUCUUUGCCUACUGUGCCAUAUGUUUGCAAGAAAUGCAUUUUGAAAUAGCUUUUUCCCAAAGCAUCUGACACGAAAUGUGAAAAAAUAAAAAAGGCAAGGUCUUACAUGAGAAAUACUUCCAUGGAUGG